rnacentral:rRNA from 1 species
GCUACUGCUAUUGGGGUUCGGCUAUGCCAUGCGAGUGGAGGGCGUCCCGCAAGGGAUGGCCCCGCAGACGGCUCAGUAACACGUCGUCAACCCACCUUAGGGUGGGGGACAACCUCGGGAAACUGAGGAUAAUCCCCCAUAGGCGGGGGAGGCUGGAAUGCGCCCCCGCUGAAAGCUCAGGCGCCCCAGGACGGGACGGCGGCCUAUCAGGUAGUUGGUGGUGUGACG